CAUGGCUCAGAUUGAACGCUGGCGGCAGGCCUAACACAUGGCAAGUCGAACGGUAACAGGAAGAAGCUUGCUUCUUUGCUGACGAGUGGCGGACGGGUGAGUAAUGUCUGGGAAACUGCCUGAUGGAGGGGGAUAACUACUGGAAACGGUAGCUAAUACCGCAUAACGUCGCAAGACCAAAAAAGGGGGGACCUUCGGGCCUCUUGCCAUCGGAUGUGCCCAGAUGGGAUUAGCUAGUAGGUGGGGUAACGGCUCACCUAGGCGACGAUCCCUAGCUGGUCUGAGAGGAUGACCAGCCACACUGGAACUGAGACACGGUCCAGACUCCUACGGGAGGCAGCAGUGGGGAAUAUUGCACAAUGGGCGCAAGCCUGAUGCAGCCAUGCCGCGUGUAUGAGGAAGGCCUUCGGGUUGUAAAGUACUUUCAGCGGGGAGGAAGGGAGUAAAGUUAAUACCUUUGCUCAUUGACGUUACCCGCAGAAGAAGCACCGGCUAACUCCGUG
rnacentral:rRNA from 1 species